GGCGAACGCUGGCGGCGUGCCUAACACAUGCAAGUCGAACGGAAAGGCCCUGCUUUUGUGGGGUGCUCGAGUGGCGAACGGGUGAGUAACACGUGAGUAACCUGCCCUUGACUUUGGGAUAACUUCAGGAAACUGGGGCUAAUACCGGAUAGGAGCUCCUGCUGCAUGGUGGGGGUUGGAAAGUUUCGGCGGUUGGGGAUGGACUCGCGGCUUAUCAGCUUGUUGGUAGGGUAGUGGCUUACCAAGGCUUUGACGGGUAGCCGGCCUGAGAGGGUGACCGGCCACAUUGGGACUGAGAUACGGCCCAGACUCCUACGGGAGGCAGCAGUGGGGAAUAUUGCACAAUGGGCGGAAGCCUGAUGCAGCAACGCCGCGUGCGGGAUGACGGCCUUCGGGUUGUAAACCGCUUUCGCCUGUGACGAAGCGUGAGUGACGGUAAUGGGUAAAGAAGCACCGGCUAACUACGUG
rnacentral:rRNA from 1 species